AGCGAACGCUGGCGGCAGGCCUAACACAUGCAAGUCGAACGAACCCUUCGGGGUUAGUGGCGGACGGGUGAGUAACACGUGGGAACGUGCCUUUAGGUUCGGAAUAACUCAGGGAAACUUGUGCUAAUACCGAAUGUGCCCUUCGGGGGAAAGAUUUAUCGCCUUUAGAGCGGCCCGCGUCUGAUUAGCUAGUUGGUGAGGUAAUGGCUCACCAAGGCGACGAUCAGUAGCUGGUCUGAGAGGAUGAUCAGCCACAUUGGGACUGAGACACGGCCCAAACUCCUACGGGAGGCAGCAGUGGGGAAUCUUGCGCAAUGGGCGAAAGCCUGACGCAGCCAUGCCGCGUGAAUGAUGAAGGUCUUAGGAUUGUAAAAUCCUUUCACCGGUGAAGAUAAUGACUGUAGCCGGAGAAGAAGCCCCGGCUAACUUCGUGCCAGCCGCCGCGGUAAAAC
rnacentral:rRNA from 1 species